CUCUGCCCCGAGUUACUACACCAUCAAGGUGACGGAGCAUGACUACGCAUGCUGCCCCAUCCUACUACACAGAGGCUUUCAAGUAUUACUCUAUUCUCAGCUACUUAUUGCACCGAUUUUCCUAAAUACUAUUCUGUUCCCAGCUGCUACACCGAGGCUCCCGCUGAUUACUCCACCAAAACGGUCGAAUACUACACCGAAGCGGUAAAGUACUACUCUGCCCAGAUCUACACAACCACAACUGAGGCGGCCAAGGAUGACGCAGUUCCGUCUUGCUACACCGAAGCUACUCUUUUGUUCUACGUUGAACAGAAAUACUACACUGAUGCUCCAGUUCACUACACCACGACCUACGCUACACCGCAGCCCCCAAGCACUACAUCGAAGAAGCCGCCUAUUACACAACAACGUAUGCUGCCUAGUUUACUACACCGAGGCUCCCAAGUACUACAUCACUAAGGCACCGGAAUUCUACACGUCUAUGUAUGCUGCCCCUUCCUACUACACCGAGGCGCCGCCUCUUCAACACUGAAGCUCUUAAGUACUACACUACAACCUACGCUGCCCCGAGCUACUACACCUACGUCCCGAAGUAUUACUGUGCGUAAAAGGAGUCGUCAGAAAAAAAAGAAGUCGGUCCCCGAACUGCAGUGCCCUAUCUGUCAUCAACUGCAUUCCUCAUCGUGUAAUCCAUUCGCAAUUAUGGAUAUCUAUGGCGUCGUGCUCCUGUUGUGUCUAUUGUUCGUUGAUUGGUGGGUCGACCGCUGGUGUAGCGAUGUAUCCUUGGUGAAGCGGAAACCAAACCGCAACGCCGCCGCCUUCCUACACAACUUACACAACGACCAGUUCCUGCACCGAGGUCUUCAAGUACUACACCACUAAAGCACCGGAGUUUUAUACCACAACUUACGCUGCCCCGAGCCACUACACUAAAGCCCUGAAGUAUUACUCUGCCCUGAGUUACUACACCAUCUAGGCGAUGGAGUGCUACAUGACUACGUAUGCUGCCCAUUCUACUACACCGAGGCUCCCAAGUAUUACUCUGUUCUCAGCUACUUAUUGCACCUAUUUUCCUAAGUACUACUCUGUUACCAGGUGCUACACCGAGGCUCCCGCUGAUUACUCCACCGAAGCGACAAAGUACUUCUCUGCCCUGAUCUACACAACCACAACUGAGGCGGACAAGUAUUACGCAGUCCCGAGUUGCUACCCAAAAGCUGCCCUUUCGUGCUACGUUGAACAGAAAUACUACACUGAUGGUCCAGUCUACUACACCACGACCUACGCUACACCUAGCUACAACACGGCAGCCCCCAAGUACUACACCGAAGAAGCCGCCUAUUACACAACUACGUACGCUGCCUAGUUUACUACAUCGAGGAAUUUAAGUAUUACCCUGCUCCAAACUACUACCAAACUGAGGUUCAUAUUUAUUGCAAUUCUCCCGAUUAUGUCACCACUACUCACGCUGCUCUGACCUUUACACCGAAAUUCUAAAGUAUUUCUCUGGAUUUGUUGAAAGAUUGCUGGAAUACAAAAUUGAUUGAUAAAUCACAAGU